rnacentral:misc_RNA from 1 species
GAACCUGAACCUGAACCUGAACCAAACCAUAGAAGGACGAUUUCGGUCCGGUUCGAAGCCGGUUUCGAUUUUGACCGAACCGGUUCCGGUUCAAAACCGGACCGUGGCCACCCCUACAAUAGAGAAUGGAAUCCAAUGCAACACAACUUAGAGUGAGCUGCGUGAGAUCUAGUUCAAGCCAUGGCGAGUUCAGGAGUUGGAUUUGACUCGACUUUAAAGGAAUUGGUGCUAGGAGCAGUGGACGGUACUUUCAACAAUAGGGAUGGGUAGAUCAACAGUCGGAGAAGGGCUUGGGGGUCAGAUGACCGGAAAAUUUGUUUCUGGCUUUUGUUUUUUUUUAUAUAAUAAAUUGUAAACGAGGCAGUAUAUGUUUUGAAGGCUGAAUGAAAAUUUUGACAGGGAAAACGAAGGAAAUUUUGAAAUAGCUUAGAACACAGGUUGAAAGAUUUUUGAAAGUUUGCGGAAGCUAUGGAAAUUUGAAUUGAAUUUAGACUCUGAUACCAAAAUUGAUGUAGAGCAAAGAGAAAAAGACCAAGAAGGAGAAAUCAAGAACUAAUCCUUGAAAAAUAGAACUAAUUCUCCAAAAUAUUAUUGAUCUUAUAAAAUUGUCAUAAGAAAACUUGUCUAGUAACAAUAGAAACCCUCAGUCUUAUUUAUAGAAUUAGGAAU